GACGGACGCUGGCGGCGUGCUUAACACAUGCAAGUCGAACGGAAAGGCCCUGCUUUUGUGGGGUGCUCGAGUGGCGAACGGGUGAGUAACACGUGAGUAACCUGCCCUUGACUUUGGGAUAACUUCAGGAAACUGGGGCUAAUACCGGAUAGGAGCUCCUGCUGCAUGGUGGGGGUUGGAAAGUUUCGGCGGUUGGGGAUGGACUCGCGGCUUAUCAGCUUGUUGGUGGGGUAGUGGCUUACCAAGGCUUUGACGGGUAGCCGGCCUGAGAGGGUGGCCGGCCACAUUGGGACUGAGAUACGGCCCAGACUCCUACGGGAGGCAGCAGUGGGGAAUAUUGCACAAUGGGCGGAAGCCUGAUGCAGCAACGCCGCGUGCGGGAUGACGGCCUUCGGGUUGUAAACCGCUUUCGCCUGUGACGAAGCGUGAGUGACGGUAAUGGGUAAAGAAGCACCGGCUAACUACGUG
rnacentral:rRNA from 1 species